UUUCUAAAUUCUGCAGUCUCAAUUUCACACAGCAAGUUAAGAAAUAAAUAUCUUCCACCACACCUAUUCAAGGUCCAGACGGGAAGUGAAAGCUAAAGAAGGAGGUAACUCUACGCCCCUAGUGGGAACGGAAUGAGGUUGAGCGGGUGAUGGAAUGGAGUGGAGUUGAGCGGAUGUACCUUUUGACAUAAAAUAAUAAUGUACCCUUGAGACGUAGAACAGUAAUGUAACCUUGAGUAUACAUCUUCAUAUGUAUAACUCACACGUAUUUCCGCUGCAAGAUACUCUGAUUAUGCUAAUGUUUUAUUUUAAGUAUGAUACUCUUUUGUUGGGUAAUCCACUUCGACGGGCCUUC